GUACGGGGGGGGGCAAGCGUUGUUCGGAAUUAUUGGGCGUAAAGAGCUCGUAGGCGGUUUGUCACGUCUGCUGUGAAAACUGGAGGCUCAACCUCCAGCCUGCAGUGGGUACGGGCAGACUAGAGUGCGGUAGGGGAGAUUGGAAUUCCUGGUGUAGCGGUGGAAUGCGCAGAUAUCAGGAGGAACACCGAUGGCGAAGGCAGAUCUCUGGGCCGUAACUGACGCUGAGGAGCGAAAGCAUGGGGAGCGAACAGG
rnacentral:rRNA from 1 species